UAUGUUUUUGCCGCGAACUAAACCGCAUUUUCGUACUUCGGAGACGUGCACUUCGGGUGUUCGCUCCAAGAUAACAAUGGAGCUUCGGAUUCUGGUGGGGGCACGGAGAGGGAGCUUCUGAAGGAGGAGACCGAGGCGGAAGGAACUGCAACUGGAUUAGAUGCAGAAGAAAAUUCAUGUUCGAGAAAUAAUCAGUUCAAUUAUGAACAAAACGAAGUCUCUAAUUAAACUGGAAGCCCAACACCUUGCAUUUCAACAUCCGGUAGUCGUCUGAGAUACCUUCCACAAGUUCAUGCUCAUAUCAUCGGUUACGGAUUCCACAGGUUCGACUUUUCUUCACUAAGCUUAUUUCUCCGGUUUGUGCCGCUGGUUCAGUUACCUAUGCUCGGCGAUUGUUCCCCACUGUGCCAAAUCCUGACUCUUUCCUGUUCGACUACUGAUACCGUCUUGUUUUACCAUCAUAUGCUUUUCUCGGGUGUUCCUCAGUCGAAUUAGACCUUUUAAGUUUGUGAUCAAAUCCUGUGCAGAUCUUUCAGCUCUGAGGUUGGGUAGAGAAAAUCUUUCUCGUGUAAUGGUUCUGAUAUGUAUGUCCAGACUGCACUAACUGCUCUGUAUGCCAGAAGCUAGUGAUAUGGAAGUCGCCAAGAAGGUGUUUGAUGCAAUGCCACAAAGAACAAUUAUAGUUUGGAACUCACUUAUAUCCGGAUACGAGCAAAAUGGAUUCCCAUCUGACGUUGGUGUUGGGCUUCCAACCCGAUCCAAUGACAACAGUGAGCUUAUUAUCUUCCCAUUCUCACUAUGGGCUCGUGAUUUCGGUUGCUGGUUGCAUGAUUAUGCUAAUCUCAACGUUGUUCUUGGUGCUUCAUUGAUUAACAUGUACACUAGAUGUGGGAAUGUAAGCAAAGCGUGGGAAGUUUUUGACUCCAUGAAGGAAAUUAAGGAAUGUUGUUACCUGGAAAGCCAUGAUUUCAGGGUACGGAAUGCAUGGCUAUGGUGAGCAAGCAACGAAGUUUUUUUUUGGUGAAAUGAGAGCUUAUGGUCCUUGUCCUAACAAUAUUGCAUUUGUUGCAGUCUUGUCUGCAUGUGCUCAUUCAGGGUUGAUUGAUGAUGCUCAUCGGGUAUUUUCAAGCAUGAAGGAAGUAUAUGUGUUAGUUCCAGGAGUAGAACAUCAUGUCUGCAUGGUAGAUAUGUUUGGGUGUGCUGGAUUUCUCGAUGAUGCUUAUCAAUUUAUCAAAAAAAUUCUUCCUGAAGAGCCAAGUCUGGCAGUUUGGACUUCAAUGCUUGGGGCUUGCAGAAGGCAUAAAAAGUUUGACCUUGGAGCUAAGGUUGCAAAACAUGUUUCAGCACUUGAUCCAGAAAAACCCGGCAUUAUGUAUCGCUUUCUAACAUAUAUGCAUUGGCCGGUAGGAUGGAUCAAGUGGAGAUGGUACGAAGUAUUUUGGUGAUAAUUUCCAGUCAUAAUCUUCAGCUUGAGUAUUCUUGCUGUUACUGAGAGUUCAUAGGAUUUAUGAGCUAAUCAAAAGGUCGCUGAGUUUUCUAAUUAAUGAACAAUCCUGUUACUGCAGCUACUCAGUUGGUGUUUUUAAUUAGCUAGGUAAUCUGGUUAUUAGCUUGAUUGAAUCACUACCAAGUGAACUUGUCUUUACAAAUUCCAGCUUCUCGUGUUAGCUUGGAGAGCGGGUUUUGGAGGGAGGUUGGAAGCAACUGCCAUUCGGUACAAAUUAUGAUAAGUCAGCCGGUUAUUAAGCCUUACGAGCGUUGUUUGGUUCUGUCAGGUUUACAACUUUGCCAUUUCAUAGUCAGAUUCUUGAAUUGGUGGAGGCGGAUAUCAUUGACAUUUAUCAUCUAUGCACACUAUCUUUUUUGUUGUUCUUGCAACUCAGUCCUCGCCGGUUUCGAGUUCAGCCAUGGAAACCGACAUGUUUUGACAUACAGAAAUUCUUUGAGGUGAACAAUGAGUUCAACGAGUGGGGGUGGGGACCUGAAUGUUUGCUUUUACCAAGUUAUGUGAUGACCUUUCUUGGGUCGUACGUUGCGUUAUUGUGGGAAUUAACGAAGCUGACAGUGAUAGUAGCGCAUAAAGAAGCUUUUGACAGAGGGAGAAAGUACAAACAAACCAUGUUAGCAGCCAGAGUGUUGGGUAUAAAAGGUUCUGAAGACACGAGAUAUAACCAUAGCCGUGAAAACAACUGAAGAUUUGGCAGACAAAAAGUAUUUUGACAACUCCUCUUUUAAGUAACGGCGAUUGUCUCAUAGAAGAUUGAAACGUGGCAGAGUUGUGGCUUUCUUUUUCCUGAGGAUCACUACAAUCUGGGAGCAGAUGGGUUUUGAGCCACAACAUUGAAAAGGUACGAACAAAGAUCACAUUGAAAUCCACCCAAAAAGUAAAAAGGGAAUGGUUAAGUUCGUAAAAUAAUAAAACAAGUGGGAGCCAAUGCCAAUGCGCUGUUACAAUUGAACCCACCACCAAAAUUCAAAUUAUGCCUAAACAAUGCUAAAUAAAAGUUGCCUUGUGUUGCUUUGUCCUCCGUUUAUAUUUGCUUCUUGUCUUUGCUUCUAAGCUUAUCCAGUUUCCUUCUCUCUUUUUUUUUUUUCUUUUUUUCUUUUUAAUCGUUCGAGAUGUCUUAUCUAUGAUAGUAUGCAUUUCAAAAGUGUGUUGCCUUCCAAAUGGACUUUUGACAUGACUGCAACCA